AACAAUUUGUGGGUUAGAAGUCUUCCCCUCUGGCCGUAGUUGAGCAAGGGGAAAAACACUGUCUUUAAUCCCACCUUUGCUGCCCCCUGGUUUCAGUGGGAAAAGCCACAUUAUUAGAGAGAAAGGCCCUGUCAAGAAAGAAAGGUCAGAAAGGUAGAGGCAGGGAGAAAAAGCAGAGGUUGUAAUAGUAUCACUGGGUGAGGCCCAGGAAGGUAAGCAGCACAGCGGGAGUUGUUACGGAUGUCAUUAUUAUAGCAUUCAAGGAUUGUGCCCCUUUGUGAUCAGGGCCAUUCUCUGACCUGGAUGUCCUCUUUCAAUCACUUGCUAUGGGAAGCGUUAAGGAGUUUUGUCGUCCUAAGAUAGAAAGAGAUGAGAGUACUCAAGGCCUUUGGAAAAGCAGAGUGGGAUUAGUAGAAUUGACCUAGCAUUCAAAAUCUCGGUAAUUGUGCCUGACUGUGGGUUUGAUCUGGGAACAGGUUCUCCUCUAAUACUCCUGGAACAGCUGCUAUAGGCAUUCUCCUAGAAGAAAACCACUUAUGCCUAGGAGUUUGGAAUCUGGCAAGGCACUUAGAGGCUCCCAGAAAAUCAGAGAAGGAAGACCUGCAGAUGGGGAAAGAUACAAGACCCACCUGGAGCUCCAGCUCUGGGAACCCCUCUCCAGACUGUAAAACUUGUGGUGAAAUGGAUUGAUAAUGUCCUGUUUAAUCAGACAGAUGAACACCUUGUUACCUUAGGAAAAACACUUCAACUUCAAGAAACCUUGGUCAUCAUCUGUAAGAUGAGGUCAACUACUUCUAAACCACAAGGUUGUUCAGAAAAUUCAAAGAUGUCAGGUGAGUAACAUGCCCAGAAGAAUGUCUAACCCCAAGUAGAGCCUUAACAAAUGUUUGUUUUCUCCCCUUUCCCUUGUGUAAAUUUAUUAACAACUACCUCAGAUAUACCUGUGAUGGUUUUAUUUUUACCUAUUA
rnacentral:lncRNA from 1 species